GGAUUUGGAUAUAAUGACAAAUCUUGGCCAUUAAUUUGUUACCAAGAAAGUUAUCAAUUUGGUCACAACAACAUCUGGACCUCCAUCUCAGGUCCUGGUUCCUCCAGAGUAGGAGUGUACCUGGAUCACAGAGCAGGUAUUCUGUCCUUCUACAGCGUCUCUGAAACCAUGACUCUCCUCCACAGAGUCCAGACCACCUUCACUCAGCCGCUACAUGCUGGAGUUUAUGUUUCCUCGAUCAUUG